rnacentral:rRNA from 1 species
GGACGAACGCUGGCGGCGUGCUUAACCCAUGCAAGUCGAACGGAAAGGCCCUGCUUUUGUGGGGUGCUCGAGUGGCGAACGGGUGAGUAACACGUGAGUAACCUGCCCUUGACUUUGGGAUAACUUCAGGAAACUGGGGCUAAUACCGGAUAGGAGCUCCUGCUGCAUGGUGGGGGUUGGAAAGUUUCGGCCGUUGGGGAUGGACUCGCGGCUUAUCAGCUUGUUGGUGGGGUAGUGGCUUACCAAGGCUUUGACGGGUAGCCGGCCUGAGAGGGUGACCGGCCACAUUGGGACUGAGAUACGGCCCAGACUCCUACGGGAGGCAGCAGUGGGGAAUAUUGCACAAUGGGCGGAAGCCUGAUGCAGCAACGCCGCGUGCGGGAUGACGGCCUUCGGGUUGUAAACCGCUUUCGCCUGUGACGAAGCGUGAGUGACGGUAAUGGGUAAAGAAGCACCGGCUAACUACGUG